UACGUAGGAUGCAAGCGUUGUUCGGAAUUACUGGGCGUAAAGAGUACGUAGGCGGUUUUACAAGUCUGAAAUUAAAGACUGAGGCUUAACCUCAGGAAUGUAUCGGAAACUGUAAGACUAGAGGACAGUAGAGGAAGUCGGAAUUCUCAGUGUAGCGGUGAAAUGCGUAGAUAUUGGGAAGAACACCAGUGGCGAAAGCGGACUUCUGGGCUGUUACUGACGCUGAGGUACGAAAGCGUGGGGAGCAAACGGG
rnacentral:rRNA from 1 species